UUUUUUUUUUUUUUUUUUUGUGAGGUUUCAGAAUAUGGUUUCUCUCUUAGAGAUGAUUGUUAUUCGUCCAGGAGGGCUAGCUUAGGUCAUUAUAUGAUGCAAGUUAAUUUCUGUGUCUUUAUACUUGUGCUGUGAGUUUAGUUUGUUAAGAAGUGUUCCCAUUAUGCUGGUGAAGUUGGAAAUUUCCAAUAAGAAAUUUCAGGUUCAAAAGCCUUGAGAGGAUGCAAUUAAUAGCCAGAUUCUUAUAAAAUCUGCUUCAAGAAUUAACAUUCUAAUGCCUAUGUUCUCAAUCCACCAACCCUUUAACAGGUUACAAGAAAUGUAACCAAGAGAAAUUUGCAAAGAGUUCAGAGUUUUGGGGAUCUAAAAAUUUGAAAAAACAAUGUUU
rnacentral:misc_RNA from 1 species